rnacentral:rRNA from 1 species
AUUGAACGCUGGCGGCAUGCCUUACACAUGCAAGUCGAACGGCAGCACGGGAGCAAUCCUGGUGGCGAGUGGCGAACGGGUGAGUAAAGUAUCGGAACGUGCCCAGUCGUGGGGGAUAACGUAGCGAAAGUUACGCUAAUACCGCAUACGAUCGAUGGAUGAUAGCGGGGGAUCGCAACACCUCGCGCGAUUGGAGCGGCCGAUAUCAGAUGAGGUAGUUGGUCGGAUAAAGGACCACCAAGCGGACGAUCUGUAGCUGGUCUGAGAGGACAACCAGCCACACUGGGACUGAGACACGGCCCAGACUCCUACGGGAGGCAGCAGUGGGGAAUUUUGGACAAUGGGCGAAAGCCUGAUCCAGCCAUGCCGCGUGCAGGAUGAAGGCCUUCGGGUUGUAAACUGCUUUUGUACGGAACGAAAAGGACUGCCCUAAUACGGUGGUCCCAUGACGGUACCGUAAGAAUAAGCACCGGCUAACUACGUGCCAGCAGCCGCAGUAA